GACGUAGGGUGCGAGCGUUGUCCGGAUUUAUUGGGCGUAAAGCGUCCGCAGGUGGCGAUGUAAGUCUGCUGUUAAAGAGUGAGGCUCAACCUCAUAAGAGCAGUGGAAACUACAUAGCUAGAGUGCGGUAGGGGCAGAGGGAAUUCCUGGUGUAGCGGUGAAAUGCGUAGAGAUCAGGAAGAACACCGGUGGCGAAAGCGCUCUGCUAGGCCGCAACUGACACUGAGGGACGAAAGCUAGGGGAGCAAAUGGG
rnacentral:rRNA from 1 species